CCUACGGGCGGCAGCAGUGGGGAAUAUUGCGCAAUGGGCGAAAGCCUGACGCAGCGACGCCGCGUGAGGGCUGAAGGUCUUCGGAUCGUAAACCUCUGUCAGCAGGGAAGAACGGUCACUGUGCUAAUCAGCAGUGAAUUGACGGUACCUGCAAAGGCAGCACCGGCUAACUCCGUGCCAGCAGCCGCGGUAAUACGGAGGGUGCGAGCGUUAAUCGGAAGUACUGGGCGUAAAGCGCUCGUAGGCGGUAUGUCACGUCAAGGGUGAAAUCCCCGCGCGCAACGUGGGAACUGCCUUUGAAACUGGCAAACUGGAGUGUGUGAGAGGAUAGGGGAAUUCCAGGUGUAGGAGUGAAAUCCGUAGAUAUCUGGAGGAACAUCAGUGGCGAAGGCGACUAUCUGGCACAUAACUGACGCUGAGGAGCGAAAGCGUGGGUAGCAAACAGGAUUAGAUACCCCGGUAGUC
rnacentral:rRNA from 1 species